rnacentral:lncRNA from 1 species
UUUGGUCCUUUGGUUAAAGUUAUUUUAAAAGCAUUUGUCAGUUAUUGAUCUUCCCUAUGAAUAUGUGGAUUCCCCAUUUAAGCUCUCUAAUGCAUGGCUGCCGUGUGUGUUUACCAGAAGAGAGAGUAGAGACCAAACGCCGUCCUCUUGUUUCUCUUUCUAUCAUCCCUUUUGUUGUUUUUUUUUUGGGAAAUCUUGGAAACGUUUUGGGCCUCCGGCCAACCCGGAUCCGUGAAGAUGAUACCAUGGGCCUUUGUG